GCAAACUUGGUCAUUUAGAGGAAGUAAAAGUCGUAACAAGGUUUCCGUAGGUGAACCUGCGGAAGGAUCAUUACAAAACAAAUCCACACACGCACCCUGUUGAACCCAUGCUUUGCUGGGUGGAGCGGGCGGUCGUCCGAGGAUCGAUCGCAUGUCGGUCUCUCGAGCACGACGACGGCUCGCUCGCACCCAGCACGAGCGAGCAAAAGCAAAAAACGCGACGAUGACAGAUGGACACCAACAGACACCACUUUUAACAAUGGAUCUCUUGGCUCUUGCAUCGAUGAAGAACGCAGC
rnacentral:misc_RNA from 1 species